GACGAACGCUGGCGGUAUGCUUAACACAUGCAAGUCGAACGACGUGGCGAACGGGGGAGUAAUACGUGGGUGACCUGCCCUCCUUUUUGGGAUAAGCCUUGGCAACGGGGACUAAUACCGAAUAAAGGGGGAUGGGCUUGGGGCCUAUCAGCUUGUUGGGGGGGUGCUGGCCUACGAAGGCGGUGACGGGUAGCCGGCCUGGGAGGGGGACCGGCCACAUUGGGCCGUAGAUACUCCUCAGAGUCCCACGGGUGGCAGCAUGGGCGGAUAUGGCGCAAGGGGCGAAAGCCUGUUGCAGGGACGCCGCGUGGGGGAUGAAGGCGUUCGGGUUGUAAACCGGUUUCGCUAUCGAACGGGUAGGUGGAGAAGAAGCGCCGGCUAACUACGUGCCAGCAGCCGCGGUAAUUC
rnacentral:rRNA from 1 species